rnacentral:rRNA from 1 species
GAGUUUGAACCUGGCUCAGAACGAACGCUGGCGGCGUGGAUAAGACAUGCAAGUCGAACGAGAGAAUUGCCAGCUUGCUAAUAAUUCUCUAGUGGCGCACGGGUGAGUAACACGUGAGUAACCUGCCCCCGAGAGCGGGAUAGCCCUGGGAAACUGGGAUUAAUACCGCAUAGUAUCGAAAGAUUAAAGCAGCAAUGUGCUUGGGGAUGGGCUCGCGGCCUAUUAGUUAGUUGGUGAGGUAACGGCUCACCAAGGCGAUGACGGGUAGCCGGUCUGAGAGGAUGUCCGGCCACACUGGAACUGAGACACGGUCCAGACACCUACGGGUGGCAGCAGUCGAGAAUCAUUCACAAUGGGGGAAACCCUGAUGGUGCGACGCCGCGUGGGGGAAUGAAGGUCUUCGGAUUGUAAACCCCUGUCAUGUGGGAGCAAAUUAAAAAGAUAGUACCACAAGAGGAAGAGACGGCUAACUCUGUGCCAGCAGCCGCGGUAAUACAGAGGUCUCAAGCGUUGUUCGGAAUCACUGGGCGUAAAGCGUGCGUAGGCUGUUUCGUAAGUCGUGUGUGAAAGGCGCGGGCUCAACCCGCGGACGGCACAUGAUACUGCGAGACUAGAGUAAUGGAGGGGGAACCGGAAUUCUCGGUGUAGCAGUGAAAUGCGUAGAUAUCGAGAGGAACACUCGUGGCGAA